GAUGAACGCUGGCGGCGUGCCUAAUACAUGCAAGUCGAGCGAACAGAUGAGGAGCUUGCUCCUCUGACGUUAGCGGCGGACGGGUGAGUAACACGUGGAUAACCUACCUAUAAGACUGGGAUAACUUCGGGAAACCGGAGCUCAUACCGGAUAAUAUAUUGAACCGCAUGGUUCAAUAGUGAAAGACGGUUUUGCUGUCACUUAUAGAUGGAUCCGCGCCGCAUUAGCUAGUUGGUAAGGUAACGGCUUACCAAGGCAACGAUGCGUAGCCGACCUGAGAGGGUGAUCGGCCACACUGGAACUGAGACACGGUCCAGACUCCUACGGGAGGCAGCAGUAGGGAAUCUUCCGCAAUGGGCGAAAGCCUGACGGAGCAACGCCGCGUGAGUGAUGAAGGUCUUCGGAUCGUAAAACUCUGUUAUUAGGGAAGAACAAAUGUGUAAGUAACUAUGCACGUCUUGAUGGUACCUAAUCAGAAAGCCACGGCUAACUACGUG
rnacentral:rRNA from 1 species